AGCCAUCCGUUGGGGUGCCCGCUUGCCGGGCUGAGAGGCGCAGAGCCGACCCAUCGAACCUGAUCCGGUCAGUACCGGCGGAGGGAACGGAGCGCACGCCAAA
rnacentral:ncRNA from 2 species